rnacentral:rRNA from 1 species
GGAGCAUGCCGCGUGAGGGAUGAAGGCCUUCGGGUUGUAAACCUCUGUCAGAGGGGACGAAGAAUGUGACGGUACCCUCAGAGGAAGCCACGGCUAACUACGUGCCAGCAGCCGCGGUAAUACGUAGGUGGCGAGCGUUAUUCGGAUUCACUGGGCGUAAAGGGUCCGUAGGGGGUCUGCCAAGUCCGAUGUGAAAGCCCACGGCUCAACUGUGGAACGGCAUUGGAUACUGGCGGGCUGGAGUCUGCGAGGGGUGAGCGGAAUUCCUGGUGUAGCGGUGGAAUGCGUAGAUAUCAGGAAGAACACCGAUGGCGAAGGCGGCUCACUGGCGCAGUACUGACCCUGAGGGACGAAAGCGUGGGUAGCAAACAGGAUUAGAUACCCUGGUAGUCCACGCCUUAAACGUUGUGCACUAGAUGUGGGAGGUUUGACCCCUUCCGUGUCCAAGCUAACGCGAUAAGUGCACCGCCUGGGGACUACGGCCGCAAGGCUAAAACUCAAAGGAAUUGACGGGGGCCCGCACAAGCGGUGGAGCAUGUGGCUUAAUUCGAGGCAACGCGAAGAACCUUACCUGGGCUUGACAUGUUCAGGACCGUCCGUGAAAGCGGACUUCCCUUCGGGGCCUGAUCACAGAUG